rnacentral:tRNA from 1 species
GAACGCUUGGCGCAACUGGAUAGCGCAAUAGUUUCCUAAACUAUCGGUUGCGAGUUCGAUUCACGCAGCGUUCA